CCUACGGGUGGCAGCAGUGAGGAAUAUUGGUCAAUGGACGAGAGUCUGAACCAGCCAAGUAGCGUGAAGGAUGACUGCCCUAUGGGUUGUAAACUUCUUUUAUAUGGGAAUAAAACGUUCCACGUGUGGGAUUUUGUAUGUACCAUAUGAAUAAGGAUCGGCUAACUCCGUGCCAGCAGCCGCGGUAAUACGGAGGAUCCGAGCGUUAUCCGGAUUUAUUGGGUUUAAAGGGAGCGUAGGUGGAAUGUUAAGUCAGUUGUGAAAGUUUGCGGCUCAACCGUAAAAUUGCAGUUGAAACUGGCAGUCUUGAGUACAGUAGAGGUGGGCGGAAUUCGUGGUGUAGCGGUGAAAUGCUUAGAUAUCACGAAGAACUCCGAUUGCGAAGGCAGUUCACUGGACUGCAACUGACACUGAGGCUCGAAAGUGUGGGUAUCAAACAGGAUUAGAUACCCCAGUAGUC
rnacentral:rRNA from 1 species